CAAUAGCGUAUAUUAAAGUUGUUGCAGUUAAAAAGCUCGUAGUUGGACCUUGGACCUGGACAGGCGGUCCGCCUCACGGCGUGUACUGUCUUGCUGGGUCUUUCCUCUUGGUGAUCUGUUGUUUCGGCAGCAGGGAACCAGGACUUUUACUUUGAAAAAAUUAGAGUGUUCAAAGCAGGCUCGACGCCGGAAUAUAUUAGCAUGGAAUAAUAAAAUAGGACGUGCGGUUCUAUUUUGUUGGUUUUUGGAAUCGCCGUAAUGAUUAAUAGGGACAGUCGGGGGCAUUAGUACUCACAUGCUAGAGGUGAAAUUCUUGGAUUUUGUGGAGACUAACUUCUGCGAAAGCAUUUGCCAAGGAUGUUUUCAUUAA
rnacentral:rRNA from 1 species